AGAGUUUGAUCAUGGCUCAGGAUGAACGCUAGCGGCAGGCCUAAUACAUGCAAGUCGUACGGUAAAUCCCCUCGGGGGAUUGAGAGUGGCGGACGGGUGCGUAACGCGUAUGCAACCAACCCCCGACAGGCGGACAGCCGGUGGAAACGCCGGAUAAUACGCCAUACGGCCGCGGUGAGGCAUCUCACCGUGGUCAAAGCCUCGGCGGUCGGGGACGGGCAUGCGUGCCAUUAGAUAGUCGGCGGGGUGACGGCCCACCGAGUCGACGAUGGCUAGGGGAUCUGAGAGGACGGUCCCCCCACACUGGUACUGAGACACGGACCAGACUCCUGCGGGAGGCAGCAGUAAGGGAUAUUGGGCAAUGGGGGUAACCCUGACCCAGCCAUGCCGCGUGAAGGGAAUGAGGCCCUACGGGUCGUGAACCUCUUUUAUUCGGGGACAAGGGCGCGCACGCGAUGCACGCUUGAGGGUACCGAAGGAAUAAGCGUCGGCUAACUCCGUGCCAGCAGCAGC
rnacentral:rRNA from 1 species